rnacentral:rRNA from 1 species
GACGAACCGUGCGAACGUUGUUCGGAUUCACUGGGCUUAAAGGGCGCGUAGGCGGGCACUCAAGUCAGGGGUGAAAUCUUUCGGCUUAACCGGAAAAGUGCCUCUGAUACUGGGUGUCUCGAGGGAGGUAGGGGCGUGUGGAACUUCCGGUGGAGCGGUGAAAUGCGUAGAUAUCGGAAGGAACGCCGGUGGCGAAAGCGACGCGCUGGACCUCUUCUGACGCUGAGGCGCGAAAGCCAGGGGAGCAAACGGG